rnacentral:rRNA from 2 species
GUCUUCGAGUCGUUGAUUUCACACUGCCGAGAAAAGCCUCUAGAUAGAAAAUAGGUGCCCGUACCGCAAACCGACACAGGUAGUCAAGAUGAGAAUUCUAAGGUGAGCGAGCGAACUCUCGUUAAGGAACUCGGCAAAAUGACCCCGUAACUUCGGGAGAAGGGGUGCUCUUUAGGGUUAACGCCCAGAAGAGCCGCAGUGAAUAGGCCCAAGCGACUGUUUAUCAAAAACACAGGUCUCUGCUAAACCGUAAGGUGAUGUAUAGGGGCUGACGCCUGCCCGGUGCUGGAAGGUUAAGAGGAGUGGUUAGCUUCUGCGAAGCUACGAAUCGAAGCCCCAGUAAACGGCGGCCGUAACUAUAACGGUCCUAAGGUAGCGAAAUUCCUUGUCGGGUAAGUUCCGACCCGCACGAAAGGCGUAACGAUUUGGGCACUGUCUCAACGAGAGACUCGGUGAAAUCAUAGUACCUGUGAAGAUGCAGGUUACCCGCGACAGGACGGAAAGACCCCGUGGAGCUUUACUGUAGCCUGAUAUUGAAAUUCGGCACAGCUUGUACAGGAUAGGUAGGAGCCUUUGAAACGUGAGCGCUAGCUUACGUGGAGGCGCUGGUGGGAUACUACCCUAGCUGUGUUGGCUUUCUAACCCGCACCACUUAUCGUGGUGGGAGACAGUGUCAGGCGGGCAGUUUGACUGGGGCGGUCGCCUCCUAAAAGGUAACGGAGGCGCUCAAAGGUUCCCUCAGAAUGGUUGGAAAUCAUUCAUAGAGUGUAAAGGCAUAAGGGAGCUUGACUGCGAGACCUACAAGUCGAGCAGG